GCUGGAACAAAUCCCUGUGUUUCCUGAGCAGGUCAGCCGGUGACUGUAUGAACCUACAGCCCCUGUGGUCUUGUUCCCUGGAGCUGCAGAGAAGUCCUGCCUGAGAACAUUCCUAGCAUCCUGGGAAGCCAUUCAGUUGUUUGCUUUACCCUGACUCCACUCACCUCAGAUCACAAGUAGACAAAUCCGGAGACCCUCGAGGUUUAGAAUUGCAAGGUUCAGUGUGCCCCUGACUGCUUAGCUGGGAGCUUCCUUUGAUUUUAUGGAUUUCAAGUGAGAACCAUUUUACCAGUCAAGUAAAUGGACCCUUGAAAACAAUGGACAGGAGUUUGAGGAGAAUGGGAAGCACUUUUCAAAGUUACUUGAGAGCCUUCUGAUCACGGCACUAUUGGAUGUCUGAGAAGCAAGAAUCACUUUUGUCUUCCUACAGGUGAGGGAAAUGAGGUCACUUGUCAAGAAAUGUACAUUUUCUCAGAAAACAUUGUUGUAAGGGAAGCAGCAAAGCACAAAACCAGAACCCAGGGACUGCUGAAAAUGUCAGUGGGUGUGUGUCCACGGGACUAGAGAGGCCCCGCGACAGACUCAUUCUUGGAUGACAUUCUGACUCGAAGCCUUUCAAAAUCCCCUCCUGGAGAGUGACGAUCUACUGGUUGGUGCUGGGAUUCAGGUCACCCUCCUGACUGUAGGUUGGUGGCCUGACAUUUCCAGGCCAUGGCCAAGUCUCAGGCUUAGCAGAUCCUGCUAAGAUCUGCAGACCCCGUGAUCUGCCCUGCCGGUUCACCAGCUAUCACCCUCUCUGAGCUCACUUGUCUUGGGAAGCCUCAACAGAUAACUGAAUAAUUAAAUGAAAUCAUCUGUUCGCUGGAGGACACAGCCCCGCCAUCUCCACAGUCCUUCCCCAGGCUUUCCCCAGCCCCCAGCUCCAGCCUCAGGAAGCGGAGCUGCUGAGAAUCUCUCCUCCAGCCUCGCCUCCUGCCGAGAGUGUCCUCUGCGUGCCCAAUAUUGUGUCCUGGAAAAUACCAAGUGCCCUAGCAGCCAGGCGGGAGCCCUGGCGGCCUGGGGAAGGCUGGC